rnacentral:rRNA from 1 species
UACGUAGGGUGCAAGCGUUAUCCGGAAUUAUUGGGCGUAAAGAGCUCGUAGGCGGUUUGUCGUGUCUGCUGUGAAAACCGGAGGCUCAACCUCCGGCCUGCAGUGGGUACGGGCAAACUAGAGUGCGGUAGGGGAGAUUGGAAUUCCUGGUGUAGCGGUGAAAUGCGCAGAUAUCAGGAGGAACACCGGUGGCGAAGGCGGAUCUCUGGGCCAUUACUGACGCUGAGGAGCGAAAGCGUGGGGAGCGAACAGG